GCAAUACCGCCAAACGUUUAGGGAGACUUGGAAAGGGAAGAAGGACUCCCAUGCGGAGUGGGCAUGGCGCAUCACAAGGGCCACCCAGAACUGGCUCAACUCCCAUCAAGGAGAUCACCCAACGACAAGGCGAUGACGCAUUCGUAUGUCAUCCAUAUCAACUUUCAAUGCCAUUUACUGCGCCUACCAUGGUGAACACGGGUAACGAGGAAUCAGGUUUCAAUUCCGGAGAGGGAGCCUGAGAAACAGCUACCACAUGCAAGCAAAGCAGCGGGCGUGCAAAUGACCUACUCCCGACGCGGGAAGGUAGUGAC